rfam:Oryza sativa z152 snoRNA
GCAAUGCAAUGAUGAUUUUAAUGGGUUUUAGCAGUGGCGGCGUCAGUCGCCGUGAGCUUUCAAUCCAAAAAACGACUUCUCUUUCCACUGAGCAUUGC